rnacentral:misc_RNA from 1 species
AUGAAGAACGUAGCGAAAUGCGAUACUUGGUGUGAAUUGCAGAAUCCCGUGAACCAUCGAGUCUUUGAACGCAAGUUGCGCCCGAAGCCAUUAGGCCGAGGGCACGCCUGCCUGGGCGUCACACGUCGUUGCCCCCCCAUCUACUCCUUCGGGAUUGCGGGGGGCGGAUGAUGGCCUCCCGUGCGCCUCGUCGCGCGGUUGGCCUAAAUGCCAAGUCCUCGGCGACGCACGCCACGACAAUCGGUGGUUGCGAAACCUCGGUUGCCCGUCGUGUGCGGUCGUCGCGCAUCGAGGGCUCGAAAAAAUUGCCGGGCUUCGGCUCGACUUUCAACGCGACCCCAGGUCAGGCGGGGUUACCCGCUGAAUUUAAGCAUAUCAAUAAGCGGAGGA